rnacentral:rRNA from 1 species
GAUGAACGCUGGCGGCGUACCUAAUACAUGCAAGUCGAACGGGGAGUAGCAAUACUCUUAGUGGCGAACGGGUGAGUAACGCGUUGGUACCUGCCCCGAAGCGGGGGAUAACGGACCGAAAGGUCCGCUAAUACCCCAUGUGCUCGGUAACGAGUAAAGGUGAAAACCACUUUGGGAGGGGCCUGCGUCCCAUCAGCUAGUUGGUAAGGUAACGGCUUACCAAGGCGAUGACGGGUAGGGGACCUGAGAGGGUGGCCCCCCACAAUGGAACUGAAACACGGUCCAUACACCUACGGGUGGCAGCAGUAGGGAAUAUUGGUAAUGGGCGCAAGCCUGAACCAGCAACGCCGCGUGUGCGAUGACGGCCUUCGGGUUGUAAAGCACUUUUGACUGGGACGAGGAAGGACGGUACCGGUCGAAUCAGCCUCGGCUAACUACGUG